AAGGCCUACCAAGGCGACGAUGGAUAGCCGGCCUGAGAGGGUGAACGGCCACACUGGGACUGAGACACGGCCCAGACUCCUACGGGAGGCAGCAGCUAAGAAUCUUCCGCAAUGGGCGAAAGCCUGACGGAGCGACGCCGCGUGGACGAGGAAGGCCGAAAGGUUGUAAAGUCCUUUUCUUAGGGAAGAAUAAAGCGAAGAGUGGAAUGCUUCGCAGAUGACAUUAACUUUGGAAUAAGCCCCGGCCAAUUACGUGCCAGCAGCCGCGGUAAUACGUAUGGGGCGAGCGUUGUUCGGAAUUAUUGGGCGUAAAGGGCGUGUAGGCGGUUUUAUAAGCCUGGUGUGAAAUCCCACAGCUCAACUGUGGAGACGCGCUGGGAACUGUAAGACUAGAGUUUAGGAGGGGAAGCUGGAAUUCCUGGUGUAGGGGUGAAAUCUGUAGAUAUCAGGAAGAACACCGAUGGCGAAGGCAAGCUUCUAGCCAUAGACUGACGCUGAGGCGCGAAAGCGUGGGGAGCGAACAGGAUUAGAUACCCUGGUAGUCCACGCUGUAAACGAUGUGCACUGGGUGUAGGAUACGUUAAGUUUUCUGUGCCGUAGCUAACGCGUUAAGUGCACCGCCUGGGGAGUAUGCUCGCAAGGGUGAAACUCAAAGGAAUUGACGGGGGCCCGCACAAGCGGUGGAGCAUGUGGUUUAAUUCGAUAUACGCGAGGAACCUUACCAGGGCUUGACAUGUACUUGAAGGCUUAAGAGAUUAAGUCGACCUUUAGGGGACGGGUACACAGGUGCUGCAUGGCUGUCGUCAGCUCGUGUCGUGAGAUGUUGGGUUAAGUCCCGCAACGAGCGCAACCCUUACUAUCUGUUACCAGCAGGUCUUCGGACGCUGGGGACUCAGAUAGAACUGCCGGUGACAAACCGGAGGAGGGUGGGGAUGACGUCAAGUCACCAUGGCCCUUAUGUCCUGGGCUACACACGUGCUACAAUGGUCGGUACAAAGCGUUGCGAGACGGUGACGUCCUUAGCAAAUCGCAAAAAGCCGAUCUCAGUUCGGAUUGGAGUCUGAAACCCGACUCCAUGAAGUUGGAAUCGCUAGUAAUCGCACAUCAGAAUGGCGCGGUGAAUAUGUUCCCGGGCCUUGUACACACCGCCCGUCACACCACCCGAGUUGGGGGUACCCGAAGUCGCUAGUCUAACUCUUCGGAGAGGACGGCGCCGAAGGUAUGCCUGGUAAGGGGGGUGAAGUCGUAACAAGGUA
rnacentral:rRNA from 1 species